UACAGAGGGGGCAAGCGUUGUUCGGAAUUACUGGGCGUAAAGGGCGCAUAGGCGGCCUGUUAAGUCGAACGUGAAAUCCCCGGGCUCAACCCGGGAACUGCGUCCGAUACUGGCAGGCUUGAAUCCGGGAGAGGGAUGCGGAAUUCCAGGUGUAGCGGUGAAAUGCGUAGAUAUCUGGAGGAACACCGGUGGCGAAGGCGGCAUCCUGGACCGGUAUUGACGCUGAGGCGCGAAAGCCAGGGGAGCAAACGGG
rnacentral:rRNA from 1 species